rnacentral:tRNA from 1 species
GCCGGAGUGGCGAAAUUGGUAAACGCAGUGGAUUCAAAAUCCACCGGCUUCGCGGCCUUGCCGGUUCGAGUCCGGCCUCCGGUACCA